GUGGUUCAUUAGAAUCUGGAGCUUCAUGGA
rnacentral:piRNA from 1 species